rnacentral:rRNA from 1 species
GGUUAAGUGAAUAAGGGCGCACGGUGGAUGCCUUGGCACUAGGAGCCGAUGAAGGACGGGACUAACGCCGAUAUGCUUUGGGGAGCUGUAAGUAAGCUAUGAUCCAGAGAUUUCCGAAUGGGGAAACCCAACAUCUUUGAUAGGAUGUUACGAAUAGGUGAAUUCAUAGCCUACUCGAGGUAGACGCAGAGAACUGAAACAUCUAAGUACCUGCAGGAAGAGAAAGAAAAUUCGAUUCCCUGAGUAGCGGCGAGCGAAACGGGAAAAGCCCAAACCAAGAGGCUUGCCUCUUGGGGUUGUAGGACUCCGAUCUGGUAGUUUUUUCAGAUAGCCGAAAUACCUGGAAAGGUAUGUCAAAGAGGGUAAAAACCCCGUAGGCGAAAUUU